UACGGAGGGUGCGAGCGUUGUCCGGAAUCAUUGGGCGUAAAGGGCGCGUAGGUGGCGGGACAAGCGUGCGGUGAAAGCUCGGGGCUCAACCCCGAGUCGGCCGUGCGAACUGUUUUGCUUGAGCACUGUAGAGGCAGGCGGAAUUCCGGGUGUAGCGGUGGAAUGCGUAGAGAUCCGGAGGAACACCAGAGGCGAAGGCGGCCUGCUGGGCUGCACCUGACGCUGAACCGCGAAAGCCAGGGGAGCGAACGGG
rnacentral:rRNA from 1 species